rnacentral:misc_RNA from 1 species
UCUCCGUAGGUGAACCUGCGGAGGGAUCAUUACCGAGUGAGGGCGCCCCGGCGCCCGACCUCCCAACCCUUUGUCGAACUUACCUUGUUGCCUCGGGGCGCGCCCUUCGCGGGCGGCCCCAGAGGACCAACCAUCAAAACCCUGCGUCGCAUGCGUCGGUUUGAAUUGAUUGAAUAUCAAAAAACUUUCAACAACGGAUCUCUUGGUUCUGGCAUCGAUGAAGAACGCAGC